rnacentral:rRNA from 1 species
AUUGAACGCUGGCGGCAGGCCUAACACAUGCAAGUCGAGCGAGCGGCGGACGGGUGAGUAAUGUAUGGGGACUGCCCGAUAGAGGGGGAUAACUACUGGAAACGGUAGCUAAUACCGCAUACUAUCGGAUAACCUAUAUGGGAUUAGCUAGUUGGUGAGGUAAUGGCUCACCAAGGCGACGAUCCCUAACUGGUCUGAGAGGAUGAUCAGCAACGCUGGGACUGAGGCACUGCACAGACUACUACGGGGGCAGCAGUGGGGAAUAUUGCACAAUGAGCGAAAGCCUGAUGCAGCCAUGCCGCGUGUAUGAAGAAGGCCCUAGGGUUGUAAAGUACUUUCAGUCGGGAGGCGUUACCGACAGAAGAGGCACCGGCUAACUCCGUGCCAGCAGCCGCGGUAAUUC